GUGACAUAAGGACAAACUCGUACCCAACCAAUUCACAAGAGAGACCCACCCCGGGCUUUGUUGUGACUCUGAGAGAGAGAGAGAGAGAGAGAGAGAGACAGGCAAAGAAGAGGAGCAAGGAGCAUUGGUUUUCAGAACAGCUAGUGAUAACUGCAAAUAAAAACAAAACUGUUUCACAGCAAUGACAGCCCCACAGCCCUGAUCUUGCUCCGCGUGCGUACCUGCCUCCAACAAGACCACGGCAGUGCCACGCAGCGACCGCCAACGCUGGGUUCCAAUGGAAUGUUGCCCCUGGAGCGCGUGACUACAAUGUAACAAUUGCAGCCGAUGUAACGAACACAGGGGCUUCCCCCGCGAGAGGGAGUUCCGGCUUACCAACACAGCACCGAAAGCCGCACAGGACAAACUUCCAAACAGCGAGGCCCGACCACCUCAAUCCUGCCACCCUUCCCUCCCCCCGCCGCUUCGUCGUACGGCAGCCCAAGCUGCAUUGAAUCGCUCACCGGGGGUCGCAAAAAGGGAUUUACAAGCAUCGAAAAAAAAUGCACCGCCUGGGAGGCUAGUUGAGGCGGAAUAUCUCACAACCUUUAAAGAAAAGCUUGAAUGCGUAUUUGAAGUGACAUAACAUUCGAGGCUAUAGGCCUAGUCCGGGAAGAUAGGAGCAGUGUGUAUUUUUGGCCGGACAGAUUCGAUGGGCUGAGAGGCCUCUUCUCUACUGUAUCUUGUAUAAUUCCUAAAUGAAUGCAAAACAUUGCAGCUGUUGGAAGUCUAAAGUGAUAACAGAAAAUGCUAAGAAACGCAGAAAAUCAAAGUUCUGAAGAAGUGAUACUAUGGACUGAAAAUGUUCACCGUUUCUCUCUCCAUAGAUAGUGCUGGACUAAUUGAGUUUCUUCAGUUUUUUCCUCUUUCUAGACUUGUCUGCAGUUUUGCUGGUAGCAUCACAGACUGCAAUUCAUGAGGUCACCUGAAGGGAGGCAGUGACGUUGGGUAAUAUUCACUGGACUAGAAUCCCAGACCAUUGUUCUGGGGACUUUAAUAAAAAAUCAUUCAUGGGGUGAAGGCAUCACUGGCUAGGCUAGCAUUUACUGACAUGUGGAGGGCAGUUUAAAAGUCAAUCACAUAGCUGUGGGUCUGGAAUCACAUGUAGGCCAGACUAGCUAAGGAUGGCAGUUUCCUUCCCUAAAGGAUAUUAAUGAACCAGGUGGAAUUUUCUUCAAAGAAUUGACAAUGGAUUCGUGGUCAUCAGUAGAUUCCAGAUUUCAUUACAGGAUUUGAAUCCAGGUCCCCCUGGCUGCUUGGCCUGCUGUGUUCAUCCAGCUUCACACUUUAUCAUCCCCCUGGACAUUACUGGGUCUCUGAAUAAACAGUCCAGUGAUAAUACCACUGUGCUAUCCCUUUCUUUGGGGUUUGGAUCCCACCAUGGAAGAUGUGAAGUUUGAAUUCAAUUUAAAAAAAAACAAGCAAUAUGGAACUGACUUAAUGGUGACCAUCAAUUGUUGUACAAACCCAUCUUAUUCUGCAUGCCGUUACCAGAUCCACACCAGUAUUGUUCACUCUUAACUGCCCAUUGACUCAUCUAUUCCUGUGAAUGAAUUUCUGGAAUCCCACGAAUGUUAUAGCAAUUUGACCCUUCAUAAGUUCACCAGUUCUCUGAAAGAUCAUCAUUAAUUAGUGCUGAGCACCUGGCAUCACAUCAGUACUGAAAUUCACAGACCACAUUAGCUGUUUGCAAGCUAGGCUGACUGUCUUUAUGGCCUUGACUGCAGCAUCCUGUCAGUGGAGAAUAUCACUCAUAUUGCUACUGCGUACUGGCAGAGUGAAACAGCCGGCUUCACACGUUUAUCUAACUGCCAAGGUACUUUCAUUCUCCCAUUAGAUAUGGACAUUGCUAACUGGGCCAGCAUCUGUUACCUGUCCUUAGUUGCCCUCUUGAGCAGGUGGUGGUGAGCCGCAUUCUUGAACCAUUGCAGUCCAUGUGCUGUAUGUAUCCCCACAAUGCCCUUAGGGAGGGAAUUCCAGGAUUUCGAUCCAGCGACACUGAAGGAAUGGUAAUAUAUUUCCAAAUCAGGAUGUUGAAUGGCUUGGAGGGAAACUUACAGGGGUGGUGUUCCCAUGUACCUGCUGCCCUUGUCCUUCAAGAUGGAAGUACCGAUGGGUUCAGAAGGUGCUGUUUGGAAAUACGAGGUACAGUGGGCACUUUUCAGGACUAAUAGCGAUGGCAAGAGGCUUUUUUUAUGUCAUAGAGUCAUACAGCAUGGAAACAGACCUUUCGGUCCAUGUCAAACAUAAACCUAAACUAAACUAGUCCCACCUGCCUGCUCCUGGCCCAUAUCCCGCCAAACCUUUCCUAAUUAUGUACUUAUCCAAAUGUCUAUUAAAUGUUGUAAUUGUACCCACAAUCACCACUUUCUCAGGAAAUUCAUUCCACAUGCAAACCACCCUCUGUGUAAAACAUUUGUCUCUCUCCUCUCACCUUAAAAAUGUGUCCCCUAGUGUUGAAACUCCCCAUCCUAGGGAAAGGCCAACUAUAAUUAAGUCUACCUGUACCUUUCAUUAUCUUAUAAACUUCUAUAAGGUCACCUCUCAACCUCCUAGGCUCCAGUGAACAAAGUCCCAGCCUAUCCAGCCAUUCUUUAUAACUCAAACUUUCCAGACCUGGCAACGUAGAACAUAGAAAAGUACAGCACAGUACAGGCCCUUCGGCCCACGAUGUUGUGCUGUGGAAUAAUCCUAAUCCAAAAAUAAAAUAACCUAACCUACAUUCCCCUCAAUUCACUGCUGUCCAUGUGCAUGUCCAGCAGUCGCUUAAACGUCACUAAUGACUCCGCUUCCACGACUAUCACUGGCAAACUAUUCCAUGCGCUCACAACUCUCUGGGUGAAGAACCUCCCUCUGAUAUCUCCUCUAUACCUUCCUCCUAACACCUUAAAACUGUGACCCCUUGUGGCAGUCAAUCCUGCCCUGGGGAAAAGUCUCUGGCUAUCGAACAACAUCUGGCAACACCCUGAUAAAUCUCUUUCCAACCCUCUCCCGCAUGAUAAUAUCCUUCCUAUAACUGGACCAGAACUGGACACAGUGCUCCAGAAGAGGCCUCACCAAUGUCCUGUACUAUCUCAACAUGACUUCCCAACUCAAAGGACUGAGUAAUGAAGGCAAGCAUCCCAAGUGCCUUUUUAACCAUCCUGUCUAUAUGUGACUCAAACUUGUGAUAUAUGGUGAGAAAGGCUCUGAUUAGAGUAGACAGUAUCCCCCAAGAUGGCUUUAAAUGCAUCCUGACUCAGUAUCAGGUUUUCACAGUGAACAAAUGGCUCAAGCCUUAUUAAAAAUAUAGGACAGUACAUCACAGGAACAAGCCCUUCGUCUCACCAAGCUAGUGCUGAAUAGAUGCCUUUCUUAAAUCAAAAACCUUUAGCUUCUACAUUGUCUGGAUCCUGCUAUUCGCUGCCUAUUCGUGUAUCUGUCAAGAUGCCUCUCAAAUAUUGCUAUUGUAUCCACCUCCACCACCACCUCUGGCAGCACAUUCCAGGCUCUAUAAACCCUCUGUUUAAAAUAAUUUGCUUCUCACAUCUCCUUUAAACUUACUGUCUUUUACCUUAAACCUAUGUCCCCUGGGGAAAAGACUCUGGCUGUCCAUUCUGUUAUUUGUGCACGUUGUAAGAUGUUAAUCUAUUAUUUGCUCAUUCUUGGAAUGAUGUUCUUCCUCUGGCUGCAGGGAAUGGUUGAUUUGUAUUGGUACCUAGGACAUUAAACACAUAACAAUC